rnacentral:rRNA from 1 species
CCCCUUAGAGUUUGAUCCUGGCUCAGGAUGAACGCUAGCGGCAGGCUUAAUACAUGCAAGUCAGGGGGCCAGCAAUGGCACCGGCGGACGGGUGAGUAACGCGUACACAACGUACCUUUAACUGGGGGAUAGCAUCUGGAAACGGGUGGUAAUACCGCAUGUGGUUGCGGGGAGGCAUCUCCUUGUAACUAAAACUUUGGUGGUUAGAGAUCGGUGUGCGUCUGAUUAGCUAGUUGGUAGGGUAGAGGCCUACCAAGGCGACGAUCAGUAGGGGGCGUGAGAGCGUGAACCCCCACACGGGUACUGAGACACGGACCCGACUCCUACGGGAGGCAGCAGUAAGGAAUAUUGGUCAAUGGAGGGAACUCUGAACCACCCAUGCCGCGUGAAGGAAGAAGGCGCUACGCGUUGUAAACUUCUUUUGGGUGGGACGAAAAUAAUCCAUUUAUGGAUAGCUGACGGUACCAUCAGAAUAAGCACCGGCUAACUCCGUGCCAGCAGCCGCGGUAAUACGGAGGGUGCAAGCGUUAAUCGGAAUUACUGGGCGUAAAGCGUGCGCAGGCUGUUAUGUAAGACAGAGGUGAAAUCCCCGCGCUCAACCUGGGAACUGCCUUUGUGACUGCAUAGCUGGAGUGCGGCAGAGGGGGAUGGAAUUCCGCGUGUAGCAGUGAAAUGCGUAGAUAUGCGGAGGAACACCGAUGGCGAAGGCAAUCCCCUGGGCCUGCACUGACGCUCAUGCACGAAGGCGUGGGGAGCAAACAGGAUUAGAUACCCUAGUAGUCCACGCCCUAAACGAUGUCAAGUGGGGGUGGGUUGGGGUUCUUCACUGACUCAGUAACCGAGCUACGCGUGUAGGUCGACGCCUGGGGAGUACGGCGCAAGAUACACUCAAGAUCGACAGCACGCAACGCGGAAAGAUGAGGGUUUAUAUCCGAUGCAACAGCAAAAAUCGCUACCCUAUCUGUGAUACGACAGAUGGUACU